UUAUGUGAUCGUCUCUCGCAUAUCAAUAAGCGGAGGAAAAGAAACUAACAAGGAUUCCCCUAGUAACGGCGAGUGAAGCGGGAAGAGCUCAAAUUUGAAAUCUUAAAGGGUUUCCCUUUACGAAUUGUAGUUUAAAGAAGUGUUUUCUGUUGAGGUUUUGGUAAAAGUUCUUUGGAAUAGGACAUCAUAGAGGGUGAGAAUCCCGUAUUUGACCUUUACUUUCAACUUUGUGAUACACUUUCAAAGAGUCGGAUUGUUUGGGAAUGCAGUCCAAAAUGGGUGGUAAAUUUCAUCUAAAGCUAAAUAUUGGCGAGAGACCGAUAGCGAACAAGUACCGUGAGGGAAAGAUGAAAAGAAACUUUGAAAAGAGAGUUAAACAGUACGUGAAAUUGUCAAAAGGGAAGCGUUUUGACACCAGUGUUGUUUUUCUGAAAAUCAAUUAAAGAACUGUUUAUGCUAAGUUGUUUAGACUUUAUCAGCUAUCUGUUUAGUUUUGAGCUUUUCUUUAAUGCACUUUUCAGUUAACAAGUCAACAUCAAUUUCUUUUGCUGUAAAAAAGCUUGAGGAAGGUGGCUUGAGAUUCGUCUUAAGUGUUUAUAGCCUCUUGCCUAUGCAGUCGGAGAGAUUGAGGUCUGCAGCGUAGAUCCUUCGGGGCUAAAUGCAUUUGUGCUAAGUUAUAGCAUUUUAUAGACAACUUGUUGACUAUGAUUUGUCUUGUAGCUUACUCGCUUAUGUUAUUUUACCUACGCUUAGGAUGUUGACACACGCGCGUGCUCG
rnacentral:rRNA from 1 species